GGGGGGCUUGAUCAGAUUCUCUCAACUUGCUUCCAUCUCUCUUUGUCUCCCCUAUGUCUUUAUUUAAUCCCUGUUCUGCCUCCAGGUACACCCCACAGAUUGAUUCGCAGGCCUGAUCAAGUGGUGCCCAGCGUGGGGGCUCCUGACACGGAGGAGUCAACGAGGGAGCCGUUCGAGACAGCUGGCUUAAAGUGAAAGCAAAUUGAACCAGAGAUCGCGGCGAAAACUGAGCAAACUGAAUCAAAGAUUAAAGCUAAAAGUGACAGGAAAUUAAAUCAAGUACUGAGGCCUGCGCAGACAACUACCCAACGUCCUGCCCGAGUCACGGUGUGUGAACGGCCACCCUAUUCCCUUUCCCGGACAUGGGUCAAGCAUUGAACGAACACAAAUUGUUCAUGGGAGGCCUUAUAAAGACAUUAAAGACAAGAGAGGUGACAAAACCCCCCAGAGCCCUAUGCUGCCUACUCAGCCUUCUCCUUGAGCCAUACCACACCCAUGGUGGAUUUAGACCCCUGCCAAACAGACUACAAGUGCUGACAGCCAUGCACACACCCCCCUGUGACUACGGAAGAGGCUCUUCUCGGUCUGGAGGAACAUAAACCAGCCAAAUAGAUUGCAUCCAGUGUUAUGCGAGGCAAGCUCCAAGACAUAGGAGAACGACUUCAACAGAGACACCAACAAAUGGCUGCCAACCCCUUCUCCUAGAUAUGUGGGGGGGGAGCUUUUCCCUUACCUAGCACCCCUUUUGGGUCCCCUAGCUGCCCUAUUGCUUCUCCUUUCUGUGAGUCCUUGUAUUUUUCAGAGGAUUAUGAUGUUCAUUAAUAACCGGAUAGACACAUUUAUGGCAAAGCCCAUUCAGGUACACUAUCAUCAGCUGGAGAUGGCAGAUCAACAAACCUACCGGGAAGGAAUUCCCACAAGUGGCCCAUAUGAUGAUGCGGCCUAACUGCCCUGGGGCAAUGGACAGGCAGUCAGAGACGGGCAACUAGGACAUGCAUGUUAAUUCCAACGGCAACCUAAGACAGGCACAGGACCAACUGUUGUUCUGCAAGCCCAUGACGGGUAACGCCUGGUUGGGUUCAUGCAAUGAGGUCCUUGACCUAAGACAGAUGCUGUCCGGCAGGGCCUGCCAUACUCCUGAUUAAAUAAUAUAGAAAGGGAGGAGAUGUAGGGAGCCGAGUGACAGCCCAUUGCUGCCUCCCUGCCUCUCCCUCUCCUAUGGGGACUGCGUCUGCCUACAUUAACCAUAAUCCUCUCCUGCUUACGUCACAUAUCUGGAUGUGAUGGCGACCCUGUUGUAUUCAUCCCCAUAGCCUCUUCCUGUCCCACCUCCCACCCUUGGCCUAUAAAAGAUGUGAUCACUUCCGGAAUAAAUGGGGGGCUUGAUCAGA